rnacentral:rRNA from 1 species
AUUGAACGCUGGCGGCAGGCCUAACACAUGCAAGUCGAACGGUAGCACAGAGAGCUUGCUCUCGGGUGACGAGUGGCGGACGGGUGAGUAAUGUCUGGGAAACUGCCUGAUGGAGGGGGAUAACUACUGGAAACGGUAGCUAAUACCGCAUAACGUCGCAAGACCAAAGAGGGGGACCUUCGGGCCUCUUGCCAUCAGAUGUGCCCAGAUGGGAUUAGCUAGUAGGUGGGGUAACGGCUCACCUAGGCGACGAUCCCUAGCUGGUCUGAGAGGAUGACCAGCCACACUGGAACUGAGACACGGUCCAGACUCCUACGGGAGGCAGCAGUGGGGAAUAUUGCACAAUGGGCGCAAGCCUGAUGCAGCCAUGCCGCGUGUAUGAAGAAGGCCUUCGGGUUGUAAAGUACUUUCAGCGGGGAGGAAGGUGUUGAGGUUAAUAACCUCAGCAAUUGACGUUACCCGCAGAAGAAGCACCGGCUAACUCCGUGCCAGCAGCCGCGGUAACACGGAGGGUGCAAGCGUUAAUCGGAAUUACUGGGCGUAAAGCGCACGCAGGCGGUCUGUCAAGUCGGAUGUGAAAUCCCCGGGCUCAACCUGGGAACUGCAUUCGAAACUGGCAGGCUGGAGUCUUGUAGAGGGGGGUAGAAUUCCAGGUGUAGCGGUGAAAUGCGUAGAGAUCUGGAGGAAUACCGGUGGCGAAGGCGGCCCCCUGGACAAAGACUGACGCUCAGGUGCGAAAGCGUGGGGAGCAAACAGGAUUAGAUACCCUGGUAGUCCACGCUGUAAACGAUGUCGACUUGGAGGUUGUUCCCUUGAGGAGUGGCUUCCGGAGCUAACGCGUUAAGUCGACCGCCUGGGGAGUACGGCCGCAAGGUUAAAACUCAAAUGAAUUGACGGGGGCCCGCACAAGCGGUGGAGCAUGUGGUUUAAUUCGAUGCAACGCGAAGAACCUUACCUACUCUUGACAUCCACGGAACUUAGCAGAGAUGCUUUGGUGCCUUCGGGAACCGUGAGACAGGUGCUGCAUGGCUGUCGUCAGCUCGUGUUGUGAAAUGUUGGGUUAAGUCCCGCAACGAGCGCAACCCUUAUCCUUUGUUGCCAGCGGUUCGGCCGGGAACUCAAGGGAGACUGCCAGUGAUAAACUGGAGGAAGGUGGGGAUGACGUCAAGUCAUCAUGGCCCUUACGAGUAGGGCUACACACGUGCUACAAUGGCAUAUACAAAGAGAAGCGACCUCGCGAGAGCAAGCGGACCUCAUAAAGUAUGUCGUAGUCCGGAUUGGAGUCUGCAACUCGACUCCAUGAAGUCGGAAUCGCUAGUAAUCGUGGAUCAGAAUGCCACGGUGAAUACGUUCCCGGGCCUUGUACACACCGCCCGUCACACCAUGGGAGUGGGUUGCAAAAGAAGUAGGUAGCUUAACCUUCGGGAGGGCGCUUACCACUUUGUGAUUCAUGACUGGGGUGA